GCAAAGGUAGCAUAAUCAUUAGUUCUUUAAUUGUGAUCUGGUAUGAAUGGCUUGACGAGACAUAAGCUGUCUUAGGGGUAUUGGUUUAUUGAAUUUGGUUUUUGAGUUAAAAUUCUUAGAUGUUUUUAUGGGACGAGAAGACCCUAUAGAGUUUGACAAUUUUCUUAUUUAUUCAUUGUUUGUUUUAUUUAUAUUGAGUGGGAAUAGAUUGUUUUGUUGGGGUGAUGGGAGGAAUAUUAUUUAACUCCUCUUUGUUUUUAUAUAUUUAUGUAUAUGUUUUUGAUCCAUUUAUUUUGAUUAUAAGAUUAAAUUACCUUAGGGAUAACAGCGUUAUCCUCCUUGAGAGUUCUUAUUGGCGGGGGGGUUUGCG
rnacentral:rRNA from 1 species